CAGUAGCCACGGUAAUACGGAGGGUGCAAGCGUUAUCCGGAUUUAUUGGGUUUAAAGGGUCCGUAGGCGGACUUAUAAGUCAGUGGUGAAAGCCUGUCGCUUAACGAUAGAACUGCCAUUGAUACUGUAAGUCUUGAGUAUAUUUGAGGUAGCUGGAAUAAGUAGUGUAGCGGUGAAAUGCAUAGAUAUUACUUAGAACACCAAUUGCGAAGGCAGGUUACCAAGAUAUAACUGACGCUGAGGGACGAAAGCGUGGGUAGCGAACAGGAUUAGAUACCCCCGUAGUCCCUGUCUCUUAUAU
rnacentral:rRNA from 1 species